UUGACCUCGGAUCAGGUAGGGAUACCCGCUGAACUUAAGCAUAUAAAUAAGCGUAGAAAAC
rnacentral:rRNA from 1 species